rnacentral:rRNA from 1 species
CCUACGGGUGGCAGCAGUGGGGGAUAUUGCACAAUGGGGGGAACCCUGAUGCAGCGACGCCGCGUGGGUGAAGGAGUGCUUCGGCAUGUAAAGCCCUAUCGGCAGGGAAGAAGCAAGACGGUACCUGACUAAGAAGCCCCGGCUAACUACGUGCCAGCAGCCGCGGUAAUACGUAGGGGGCGGGCGUUAUCCGGAUUCACUGGGUGUAAAGGGAGCGUAGACGGCCAUGCAAGCCAGGGGUGAAAGCCCGGGGCCCAACCCCGGGACUGCCCUUGGAACUGUGCGGCUAGAGUGCGGGAGGGGCAGGCGGAAGUCCUGGUGUAGCGGUGAAAUGCGUAGAUAGCAGGAGGAACACCGGCGGCGAAGGCGGCCUGCUGGACCGCGACUGACGUUGAGGCUCGAAAGCGUGGGGAGCGAACAGGAUUAGAUACCCGGGUAGUC